ensembl:piRNA 21ur-3155 ncRNA
UAAUAAGAUCACUGUCGUUGA